rnacentral:rRNA from 1 species
UACGUAGGGUGCAAGCGUUAAUCGGAAUUACUGGGCGUAAAGCGUGCGCAGGCGGUGAUGUAAGACAGAUGUGAAAUCCCCGGGCUCAACCUGGGACCUGCAUUUGUGACUGCAUCGCUAGAGUACGGUAGAGGGGGAUGGAAUUCCGCGUGUAGCAGUGAAAUGCGUAGAUAUGCGGAGGAACACCGAUGGCGAAGGCAAUCCCCUGGACCUGUACUGACGCUCAUGGCACGAAAAGCGUUGGGGAGCAAACAGG